rnacentral:rRNA from 1 species
UGAACUAGCUAACUGAAAUCCUUGAUGUGUCAUCGAGGAUAACGUAAGGGAAAACAAUGAUACUACCUUACUAUUAGUGUCGUCCAAGUGCUCGUGCCAGAAGACUCGGUAAGGCGAGAGACGCAGUAAAGGGUAUGUAGGCGGCUUUAAGUAUCCAAUUUUAAGUUUACUAUUAUAAACCUCUCCCGCCCGAAGAAAUUCGGGCAUAGUUUUAUAAUACUUAUUAAAGGGUCAAUUAAAGCUAGAAUCUAACAGAGGUUAAAACAAUACUUAAGGUAGGUGUACUAACCAUAGAUAUUAAGCAGAGUGUUAAGGGCGAAGGCAUUUAUCCACUGAAGAUUGACGCUGAGAAACGAAGGUGAGGACAGAAAAAAGGAUUAGAGACCCUUGUAUCCCUCACUGUCAACGAUGAAUGGUAGUUACUAGGGAGAAAUAACCUAGAGACGAUGUUAACACGAAAACCAUUCCGCCUUGUGAGUACGACUGCAAAGUUGAAAACAAAAAAAUUAGUCGGUUUCGGAGCAAACGAAGUGAAGCAUGUUAUUUAAUUC